AAAGUCGUAACAAGGUUUCCGUAGGUGAACCUGCGGAAGGAUCAUUAUCGAGUGCCGGGCGUAAGCCCGUACCCGCACCCAGUGUCGACUCUCUCUGUUGCUUCGGCGCGCACGCCCCGGCGGCCGCCGAAGGACCCAACCAAACGCAUGGCAAACCGGUCCGUCCGAGGAUACGCAAAUCAGUCAAAACUUUCAACAACGGAUCUCUUGGUUCGG
rnacentral:misc_RNA from 1 species